UACGUAGGGCGCAAGCGUUGUCCGGAAUUAUUGGGCGUAAAGAGCUCGUAGGCGGUUUGUCGCGUCUGCUGUGAAAACCUAAGGCUCAACCUUGGGCUUGCAGUGGGUACGGGCAGACUAGAGUGCGGUAGGGGUGACUGGAAUUCCUGGUGUAGCGGUGGAAUGCGCAGAUAUCGAGGAGGAACACCGAUGGCGAAGGCAGGGUCA
rnacentral:rRNA from 1 species